CUGAUGUUACGCUGAGAUAUCAAUAUUCCUAAUAAGUAAUGUCGUGCUAAAAUAUUACUAUCAUCAGUAUCGAGAGUACAAAAUGCCCAAGAUUAUAAGCACAAGCAGGGGGCCGCCCUGCCUGUUCGAAAAGUAACGUUUUUGUUUUAGUAGUUUUAAAAUUUUUCUCAGAAUCAGCAAUAGGCUAUUGGGCGGCGGAGAAAGAGAAGUUCUAGGGAAGAGAAAUUCUAGAAACCUUUGUUGGUUUGUACGAGUGCGAGAGACAGAGUCCGAAGAGAAGGUGACAAAAGAAGAGACAUAUCUAGAUCAUAAAAACCUUGUAAACACUUGAAAAAGAAGAGAAGGUCCUUCACUUCCAGCCAGUACGAUAUUGGAUGUAAUUUGAGUGUUUUGAGUAGACAAGUCAAAUUACCAUAUGAUGAUAU